ensembl:lncRNA
ACACUUUAAGACGUUAAAGUGAAGCUUGGUGACUUUCUACGCGUCUCCCUCACGUCUUCUUCUUCUUCUUCUUCUUCCGGUUUGUUCUGGCGGGUCGCAACCAGCGUCACGUGACCAGGUGCAUCGCGCCACCUGCUGUACCGGAGUGUGCAGGUUCAGGGUUUAUUGCUCAGCCUGCCGCUGUUACCUGGAUCCUACGACCUGGUCCCGUCUCUUCUAUGAGACGCAUCAGGGGUCUAAAGCAGUCGGGCCCACCCUGCUCCACUGACACGACUCCCUCCACACUCCACUUCCGUCCCCGGUGGACAAUACCUCCUUGUAGAAACAUCUCGUUUUAGCAGCUCCGUUCACCGGAACAUGGAGGAGAAACACACAGAAACGGAAGCGAAAAGACUCCGAAGGCUCGUGUUGCUGUAAACGUCUUCCGGAUAAACGCUGUGUGUGACGGAGCAGCAGAGGAAACUAAUUCACAGUAAAUAUAAAUAUCAGACAUGAAAGUGUCUCAAUGGAGC